AUCUGUUCCAGGAACAUUGUGUCAUAGUUAGCUGCAUUAUAAAGAGGUGAAAUAAUUGGUUAUUCAGUCAGUGAUUCUACUGGAUUAAAAACAAGACAGGUUGGUAAUGAUCCAGCCAAAGUGAAUAAAAAGAGAACAGAUUACAGAUCCUUAUAAAGAUGUACACAUCCAGCAUUGGGAUAACAGAGGAAGGAAGAGCCUAUUUGGAGAGAAAUACAAUUCUGACAAGGGCUUCUCUUAGGAUAACGGGAGAUGUCUAAUACCAG
rnacentral:lncRNA from 1 species